GGAGGGUGCAAGCGUUGUUCGGAAUUAUUGGGCGUAAAGAGCGUGUAGGCGGUUCGGUAAGUCAGAUGUGAAAGCCCUGGGCUCAACCCAGGAAGUGCAUUUGAAACUACCAGACUUGAGUACGGGAGAGGAGGGGGGAAUUCCCGGUGUAGAGGUGAAAUUCGUAGAUAUCGGGAGGAAUACCAGUGGCGAAGGCGCCCUCUGGACCGAUACUGACGCUGAGACGCGAAAGCGUGGGGAGCAAACAGGAUUAGAUACCCUGGUGGUCCACGCCGUAAACGAUGAGCACUAGGUGUAGCGGGUAUUGACCCCCCUGCUGUGCCCGUAGCUAACGCAUUAAGUGCUCCGCCUGGGGACUACGGUCGCAAGACUA
rnacentral:rRNA from 1 species